rnacentral:rRNA from 1 species
AUACGGAGGAUCCGAGCGUUAUCCGGAUUUAUUGGGUUUAAAGGGAGCGUAGGUGGAUUGUUAAGUCAGUUGUGAAAGUUUGCGGCUCAACCGUAAAAUUGCAGUUGAAACUGGCAGUCUUGAGUACAGUAGAGGUGGGCGGAAUUCGUGGUGUAGCGGUGAAAUGCUUAGAUAUCACGAAGAACUCCGAUUGCGAAGGCAGCUCACUAGACUGUCACUGACACUGAUGCUCGAAAGUGUGGGUAUCAAACAGGAUUAGAUACCCUGGUAGUCCACACAGUAAACGAUGGAUACUCGCUGUUUGCGAUAUACAGUAAGCGGCCAAGCGAAAGCAUUAAGUAUUCCACCUGGGGAGUACGCCGGCAACGGUGAAACUCAAAGGAAUUGACGGGG